rnacentral:rRNA from 1 species
GACGAACGCUGGCGGCGUGCCUAAUACAUGCAAGUAGAACGCUGAAGAGAGGAGCUUGCUCUUCUUGGAUGAGUUGCGAACGGGUGAGUAACGCGUAGGUAACCUGCCUUGUAGCGGGGGAUAACUAUUGGAAACGAUAGCUAAUACCGCAUAACAAUGGAUGACACAUGUCAUUUAUUUGAAAGGGGCAAUUGCCCCACUACAAGAUGGACCUGCGUUGUAUUAGCUAGUAGGUGAGGUAAUGGCUCACCUAGGCGACGAUACAUAGCCGACCUGAGAGGGGGAUCGGCCACACUGGGACUGAGACACGGCCCAGACUCCUACGGGAGGCAGCAGUAGGGAAUCUUCGGCAAUGGGGGCAACCCUGACCGAGCAACGCCGCGGGAGUGAAGAAGGUUUUCGGAUCGUAAAGCUCGGUUGUAAGUCAAGAAAGGGUGUGAGAGUGGAAAGUUCACACUGUGACGGUAGCUUACCAGAAAGGGACGGCUAACUACGUG